rnacentral:rRNA from 1 species
AUUGAACGCUGGCGGCAUGCCUUACACAUGCAAGUCGAACGGCAGCACGGACUUCGGUCUGGUGGCGAGUGGCGAACGGGUGAGUAACAUAUCGGAACAUACCCUAGAGUGGGGGAUAACGUAGCGAAAGUUACGCUAAUACCGCAUACGAUCUAAGGAUGAAAGUGGGGGAUCUUCGGACCUCAUGCUCAUGGAGUGGCCGAUAUCUGAUUAGCUAGUUGGUGAGGUAAAGGCUCACCAAGGCGACGAUCAGUAGCUGGUUUGAGAGAACGACCAGCCACACUGGAACUGAGACACGGUCCAGACUCCUACGGGAGGCAGCAGUGGGGAAUUUUGGACAAUGGGGGCAACCCUGAUCCAGCAAUGCCGCGUGAGUGAAGAAGGCCUCGGUUGUAAGCUCUUUGUCUAGGGAAGAUGAUGACUGUACCUGGAGAAUAAGACCCGGCGUAACUUCGUGCCAGCAGCCGCGGUAAU